UACGGGGGGAGCGAACGUUGUUCGGAAUUACUGGGCGUAAAGGGCGCGUAGGCGGCCCUGUAAGUGGGAUGUGAAAGCUCCUGGCUCAACCAGGGAAUUGCGUCCCAUACUGCGGGGCUUGAGUGCAGGAGAGGAUGGGGGAAUUCCCGGUGUAGCGGUGAAAUGCAUUGAUAUCGGGAGGAACACCAGUGGCGAAGGCGCCCAUCUGGCCUGUUACUGACGCUGAGGCGCGAAAGCCGGGGGAGCAAACAGG
rnacentral:rRNA from 1 species